AUUUAAUCUAUGUACCUACUUUUGUACGUUCACAAUAGCUAAAGUCCGAAGAAAAUGUCUGUUUUCAUGUACUGCUCCUCCUUGCUCCCUCUCCGCUCUGACCAUAGGUAAAGAUGUUGAGAGAAAUGCGUGCUAGCUUGAAGGUAACUUCAUACAGCUUUCUGGUUCAUUAUUAUCUCAGGCAACAUUAAAGUGACAGCUGGUCAACACAUGUAAUAAGAGAGGGAAUAUAAACUUAAUGAAAAUCAGCAGGAGCAAAACAUCAGGUUAAUAUAUUGAUAAUGAUAUUGAUUGAUAAUGUUACAUAUAUAUGAUAGAAAAGAUGGGAAAAUAUUGCCAUACUUGAUGACUGUUAGUAUUAUGAUGCUCUCUCAGACUCUGCUCUGAGAGCUACUUGCAUAGUGACUGCCCUUCACAUCACCCCUUAGUAGAACAUGGUAAGCCCUGUUCUGCAAAUUCAUCCCAUUUAUACAAAGGGACUGAAGGUUGGGAGAAUGGGUUUUUCAUGUUUCACUGAAGCUUUAUCAAAAAGUUAAAACAGAACAUAGUUAUAGACAAGCAAUUGUGUUUUCUUAUUGUUUGCACUGCUUCUUUUGUCGGUCUGAAUGCUAAAAUUGUCUGUAAAUUCACAUUUUAAAGCUGAUAU